rnacentral:tRNA from 6 species
GCGGGAAUAGCUCAGUUGGUAGAGCGCGACCUUGCCAAGGUCGAGGUCGCCGGUUCGAACCCGGUUUCCCGCUCCA